UGGGGAAUUUUGCACAAUGGGCGAAAGCCUGAUGCAGCGACGCCGCGUGGAGGAUGAAGGCCUUCGGGUUGUAAACUCCUUUUCUCGGGAACGAUGAUGACGGUACCCGAGGAAUAAGCCACGGCUAACUCUGUGCCAGCAGCCGCGGUAAGACAGAGGUGGCGAGCGUUGUUCGGAAUCACUGGGCUUAAAGGGCGCGUAGGCGGUUGUGUAAGUCUGAGGUGGAAGGCUGGGGCUUAACCCUGGAAUUGCCUUGGAAACUGCAUGACUUGAGUCAGUAAGGGGAGGGUAGAAUUCCCGGUGUAGCGGUGAAAUGCGUAGAUAUCGGGAGGAAGGCCUGUGGCGAAGGCGGCCCUCUGGUGCUGGACUGACGCUGAGGCGCGAAAGCGUGGGGAGCAAA
rnacentral:rRNA from 1 species